rnacentral:rRNA from 1 species
CCUGCAUGGGAUGUGAGUUAAAUGUUCAAGGUAUCGGAUGGGCAUGCGUCCUAUUAGUUAGUUGGCGGGGUAACAGCCCACCAAGACGAUGAUAGGUAGGGGUUCUGAGAGGAAGGUCCCCCACAUUGGAACUGAGACACGGUCCAAACUCCUACGGGAGGCAGCAGUGAGGAAUAUUGGUCAAUGGACGAGAGUCUGAACCAGCCAAGUCGCGUGAGGGAAGACUGCCCUAUGGGUUGUAAACCUCUUUUAUAAGGGAAGAAUAAGUUCUACGUGUAGAAUGAUGCCUGUACCUUAUGAAUAAGCAUCGGCUAACUCCGUGCCAGCAGCCGCGGUAAUACGGAGGAUGCGAGCGUUAUCCGGAUUUAUUGGGUUUAAAGGGUGCGUAGGCGGUUUAUUAAGUUAGUGGUUAAAUGUUUGAGCUAAACUCAAUUGUGCCAUUAAUACUGGUAACUGGAGUACAGACGAGGUAGGCGGAAUAAGUUAAGUAGCGGUGAAAUGCAUAGAUAUAACUUAGAACUCCGAUAGCGAAGGCAGCUUACCAGACUGUAACUGACGCUGAU